rnacentral:lncRNA from 1 species
GACGAGGUGGGAAAGCAGGCGACAUGGUACCACUUGGUGCUGUCGAAGCCACGGGGGUCAUGGGCUGAGACGCCAAUGCGAAGAGCGCCCUUGGUGAUGCUUGCAUUGCAGGUCUUGCACGUGGAACGGGCGGACUUGGCGUAUUCAACAGAGACACUUCCUUUUUCUGCCACCUCUGCUUUAGGCAAAACCUUUGCUUUCUUCGGACUUGGUACUUCCAAUGGACUGACUGCAGUCUGGUCUCUCUUAUUAUUCUGAAAAGAGUAGAUUUCUCAAGUUCAUGGAACAGUUCAUAUUUUUAUCAAGCAAAACUACAUUCUGUGGAGGCACAAGUCAAAUCUCUUAUUCCUUUGCUCAUAAAAACAUCGAUUAUAUAGAAAGGUACCCCCAACCUUCCACCUUAUGAUUUAGGCCUCCUUUGGUUCAUAGGAUAGGAAUAGUAUAGGAAUAGGAAAAUCAUAGGAAGUGAGAUGACAUGCAUCUCAAAUCCCAUAGAGAAAGAGAUGUCAUUUGAUGCAUAGGAUAGGAAUUUUUCCAUAGAGUCUAGUCCAAUGUUUUUUUUUCCUUUGAAAUGUGAAGGAUUGAUACCUAUCCUACGUAGGAAUAGGAAUCCAUUCCUACAAACCAAAGGGCUCCACAGGAAUUUUUCUACAAAGUUCCUAUCCUUUGCAACUCCUACAAUAUUCCUAUGAACCGAAGGAGGCCUUAGCAACAUAAUUUUACAUUACUCAAAAUUGACAUCCAAUAGGCAGAAAUAUUCGGCGCAGGAGUGGCGGGAAGACCACUAACAGAACAGGCAUUUUCAACAGGUGAGGAAUGUGCUACCUUCUCGAGCUCUCGCAGCUCCUCGCGAUCGUCAUCCUGCACAACCCCCAAAAAUACCUUGAGUUUAGCCUCCAAGCACAAAACAGAACAGAUCGAAAACGGAAUGGAACAAAAAAAACACCCAAACCUUAAUGGAGUCGAACCCCUGGACCUCCUCGACGGGGCCAAGCAGGUGCGAGGAGGCGGGGAAGCAGGCGACAUGGUACCACUUGGUGCUGUCAAAGCCACGGGGGUCAUGGGCUGAGACGCCAAUGCGAAGAGCGCCCUUGGCGAUGCUUGCAUUGCAGGCCUUGCAGGUGGAACGGGCGGACUUGGCGUAUUCAACAGACACACUUCCUUUUUCUGCCACCUCUGCUUUAGGCGAAACCUUUGCUUUCUUCGGACUUGGUACUUCCAAUGGACUGAC